GCAUGUCCAUCUUCUUGCCAAUGUUCAACCAGUGUCUUUCAUCCAAGAGUUCGCGUUAGUAGUGGCAUCCACCGGUUCGAGUCAGCGAUCUGAUCCCGGACUAACAUCUAAGGCUCUUAGAUCGCGCCUAGCUUCUGCAUCAGCUUGAUUAGCAUUAUGAGGGCUACAAUGUCAACAACUUCUUCAUCCACGUUGACAGGAUCGAUCGAUGUGCACCUUUCCUUCUUCAGCACAUUCAGCAAUGAAGUCCGAAAAGGAGUCAACUAAGGCAUAGGACUUGGCGCACCAUGGUCGCGGCUUCAAUGUAUUCUGCCUCGCAAGAUAAAAAUGUGUCAUGAUAUUCUAUCCAUGUGUUAAACAUGUUAUUUUACAUCCACCGAGAAAGAGA